GACGAACGCUGGCGGCGCGCUUAACACAUGCAAGUCGAGUGAGAACCAGUCCUUCGGGACUGGGGACAGCGGCGAACGGGUGAGUAACACGUGGGUAAUCUGCCCUCGGCACCGGAAUAGCCCGGGGAAACCCGGAUUAAUGCCGGAUGGCCUCUCUGCCCCUCGGGGCGGCGAGAAAAGGUAGCUUCGGCCUCCGGCCGAGGAUGAGCCCGCGGCCGAUUAGCUUGUUGGUGGGGUAACGGCUCACCAAGGCGACGAUCGGUAGCUGGUCUGAGAGGACGAUCAGCCACACUGGGACGGAGACACGGCCCAGACUCCUACGGGAGGCAGCAGUGGGGAAUCUUGCGCAAUGGGCGAAAGCCUGACGCAGCGACGCCGCGUGCGGGAAGAAGGCCUUCGGGUUGUAAACCGCUUUCAGGAGGGACGAAGCCACUCGGGUUAAUAGCCUAGAGGGUGACGGUACCUCCAGAAGAAGCCCCGGCUAACUACGUGCCAGCCGCCGCAGUAAUAC
rnacentral:rRNA from 1 species